rnacentral:rRNA from 1 species
GAUGAACGCUGGCGGCGUGCCUAAUACAUGCAAGUCGAGCGAACAGACGAGGAGCUUGCUCCUCUGACGUUAGCGGCGGACGGGUGAGUAACACGUGGAUAACCUACCUAUAAGACUGGGAUAACUUCGGGAAACCGGAGCUAAUACCGGAUAAUAUAUUGAACCGCAUGGUUCAAUAGUGAAAGACGGUUUUGCUGUCACUUAUAGAUGGAUCCGCGCCGUAUUAGCUAGUUGGUAAGGUAACAGCUUACCAAGGCAACGAUGCGUAGCCGACCUGAGAGGGUGAUCGGCCACACUGGAACUGAGACACGGUCCAGACUCCUACGGGAGGCAGCAGUAGGGAAUCUUCCGCAAUGGGCGAAAGCCUGACGGAGCAACGCCGCGUGAGUGAUGAAGGUCUUCGGAUCGUAAAACUCUGUUAUUAGGGAAGAACAAAUGUGUAAGUAACUAUGCACGUCUUGACGGUACCUAAUCAGAAAGCCACGGCUAACUACGUG